rnacentral:rRNA from 1 species
GACAGAGGUGCCGAGCGUUAGGCGGAAUCACUGGGCUUAAAGCGUGUGUAGGUGGAUGCCUAAGUACCUUGUGAAAUCCCACGGCUUAACCGUGGAACUGCUUGGUAUACUGGGUGUCUUGAGCCAGCUAGGGGCUACCGGAACAAAUGGUGGAGCGGUGAAAUGCGUAGAUAUCAGGAGGAACACCGGUGGCGAAGGCGGCUACCUGGACAGAAACUGACGCUGAGGCACGAAAGCUAGGGGAGCAAACAGG